GACGAACGCUGGCGGCGUGCUUAACACAUGCAAGUCGAACGGAAAGGCCCUGCUUUUGUGGGGUGCUCGAGUGGCGAACGGGUGAGUAACACGUGAGUAACCUGCCCUUGACUUUGGGAUAACUUCAGGAAACUGGGGCUAAUACCGGAUAGGAGCUCCUGCUGCAUGGUGGGGGUUGGAAAGUUUCGGCGGUUGGGGAUGGACUCGCGGCUUAUCAGCUUGUUGGUGGGGUAGUGGCUUACCAAGGCUUUGACGGGUAGCCGGCCUGAGAGGGUGACCGGCCACAUUGGGACUGAGAUACGGCCCAGACUCCUACGGGAGGCAGCAGUGGGGAAUAUUGCACAAUGGGCGGAAGCCUGAUGCAGCAACGCCGCGUGCGGGAUGACGGCCUUCGGGUUGUAAACCGCUUUCGCCUGUGACGAAGCGUGAGUGACGGUAAUGGGUAAAGAAGCACCGGCUAACUACGUGCCAGCAGCCGCGGUGAUACGUAGGGUGCGAGCGUUGUCCAGAUUUAUUGGGCGUAAAGGGCUCGUAGGUGGUUGAUCGCGUCGGAAGUGUAAUCUUGGGGCUUAACCCUGAGCGUGCUUUCGAUACGGGUUGACUUGAGGAAGGUAGGGGAGAAUGGAAUUCCUGGUGGAGCGGUGGAAUGCGCAGAUAUCAGGAGGAACACCAGUGGCGAAGGCGGUUCUCUGGGCCUUUCUUGACGCUGAGGAGCGAAAGCGUGGGGAGCGAACAGGCUUAGAUACCCUGGUAGUCCACGCUGUAAACGGUGGGUACUAGGUGUGGGGUCCAUUCCACGGGUUCCGUGCCGUAGCUAACGCUUUAAGUACCCCGCCUGGGGAGUACGGCCGCAAGGCUAAAACUCAAAGGAAUUGACGGGGCCCCGCACAAGCGGCGGAGCAUGCGGAUUAAUUCGAUGCAACGCGUAGAACCUUACCUGGGUUUGACAUGGAUCGGGAGUGCUCAGAGAUGGGUGUGCCUCUUUUGGGGUCGGUUCACAGGUGGUGCAUGGCUGUCGUCAGCUCGUGUCGUGAGAUGUUGGGUUAAGUCCCGCAACGAGCGCAACCCUUGUUCACUGUUGCCAGCACGUUAUGGUGGGGACUCAGUGGAGACCGCCGGGGUCAACUCGGAGGAAGGUGGGGAUGACGUCAAGUCAUCAUGCCCCUUAUGUCCAGGGCUUCACGCAUGCUACAAUGGCUGGUACAGAGAGUGGCGAGCCUGUGAGGGUGAGCGAAUCUCGGAAAGCCGGUCUCAGUUCGGAUUGGGGUCUGCAACUCGACCUCAUGAAGUCGGAGUCGCUAGUAAUCGCAGAUCAGCAACGCUGCGGUGAAUACGUUCCCGGGGCU
rnacentral:rRNA from 1 species